rnacentral:rRNA from 2 species
CUGGAACGCGCCCCAGGCGCACCCAGAAACCCUUUGUGAACUUAUACCUUACUGUUGCCUCGGCGCAUGCCGGCCCCCCUGGGGGCCCCUCCUUCUGGAGGAGCAGGCACGCCGGCGGCCAACCUAACUCUUGUUUUUACACUGAAACUCUGAGAAUAAAACAUAAAUGAAUCAAAACUUUCAACAACGGAUCUCUUGGUUCUGGCAUCGAUGAAGAACGCAGCGAAAUGCGAUAAGUAAUGUGAAUUGCAGAAUUCAGUGAAUCAUCGAAUCUUUGAACGCACAUUGCGCCCUCUGGUAUUCCGGAGGGCAUGCCUGUUCGAGCGUCAUUUCAACCCUCAAGCCUGGCUUGGUGAUGGGGCACUGCCUGUAAAAGGGCAGGCCCUGAAAUUCAGUGGCGAGCUCGCCAGGACCCCGAGCGCAGUAGUUAAACCCUCGCUUUGGAAGGCCCUGGCGGUGCCCUGCCGUUAAACCCCCAACUUCUGAAAAU